UACGUAGGGGGCGAGCGUUGUCCGGAGUUACUGGGCGUAAAGGGCAUGCAGGCGGUCGGACGCGUUUCGGGUGACAGCGGGUGGCUUAACUACCCGAGCGGUCGAAAGACGGUUCGACUUGAGGACGCGAGAGGGACACGGGAAUUCCGGGUGGAGUGGUGAAAUGCGUAGAGAUCCGGAGGAACACCGAAGGCGAAGGCAGUGUCCUGGCGCGUAACUGACGCUGAGGUGCGAAAGCCAGGGGAGCGAACGGG
rnacentral:rRNA from 1 species